ACUAUUAAGAGCAAACUGGUGAAUGUCUGGUGUCACAUUUCCAGGAUGGACAAUAAUACCCUCCCACAUCUUUAUCCUACCAAGAUGAUUUAUCUCAACGCAAUUUUGAAAAAAAAAACCUGCGCGCAGAACAAAGAAAACGCAACUAACAAAACAACUCCUUAUCCUACCAAGAUGAAACCACUGAUUCAGGGAAGAUGGAGCACGGGCCGGACAGCAUCUCCGCCUUCCUCCGCCCGCCGGGGCCCUUGCCUGUCCUGGCGAAGAAGACGACGUAUCUCCGCUCUGGUCAUCCACAUGGAUCAUGGGCCGGGCGGGGAGAUGGUAAUUGACCUCCAAUCGCCAUGCCCGUCCACUUCCCCUUUUCGCUCGAUUCCGUCAGUUAUGACUCGAUUCCUUCAAGGAGCAGGAGGAUGGCGGUGAGCCGGUGAGGCGGAGCUCCUGGACUCACCGAGAUCGUGGGAGGAUGCUUAGAGGCAUCGGGGAAGCGCCGGAUUGAGGGAACCGACGGUGGCCCUGUUCAGCCCGAUGUGAAGACGAUUCGCUCUAUUUCGUCAGUCCCGGCUAGAUUCCAUAAAUAAGUAGGAGGAUGAUGUCGAGGCGGAGCUCCUGGACACGGCGGCCUGCCCCGAGAGGUUGAGCAGCGAGGGACCUCGUGAUGGUACAUCGGUGGACUGCAAGGGAGCUGGAGCUUGGAGGUGGUGCUGAGCAGAGGAAGACGGUUGUAUUGGUGCUGAGUUGCUCGCGUGAAGAGGAGUUUGGGAUGCUCGUCCGUGUAGAGAAGAUGGACAAAGCAAAGAGAUAUUUAAAUUUCUAGAUUGGGUGCGUCGACGGAGGAGGAGCGGUUGAAGACCUCUAGCGAGUCAGGCUGCAGAUGCUACUUGGUCCACCGAGUGUUUAGGUGGAAGUCAUGGUCAACAUGAAUGAGCGACAGCGAGAGCGAUGAGAAAGAGGUGGUACCGUCCUAGGAGCUUUGCGACAAGGACAAAAUCAUGGCCUUCUUCAACAACCUGCUGAGCGAGUGGUGCCAACAGGUUGAUAAGAUGCAUGUUCGGCCAAGGGAAAGGCCGUCGUGACCACGUGUGCUCUUCAAGGUCCACAAGAAAAAGGCAAGUUCUUGGCGGAGUACCUGCUAGACUUCCUGGAGAUAGUGUUAGAGGAUGAGGCCCUGGAGUCCCGCGGAGCUCCCUCAUGGAUCUAAUGGAGUCAAACAAGAGCGUGAUGUUGGCGAGCAGGGCCGAUGAAGUUCUGCUCUGCCUUAAGAAAUAAUUUCCAGGCAUGCCUCCAUUUCCCACUAUGCUAUCGUGAGAAAUCUUUACUGCAAGAUGGUGAAAUUCUUAUCCCAAACUUCCGAAUCAAACAUAGCAUGCAUAUUCGUGUAAGCAUGUGGGAAGCACUUUAGUGUACAAUGAAAUUGAAUUUACCACUUAGUUUGUUGUUUCUACUUAAAGAAUCGGGGGCUUCCCUAAAAUAGGAAUAUAUCUGAAUCAUGUUUUAUAACUUGAGUUUUCUUGCAUGCAAAGGGAAAUCUUUGUGAUCUGAUUUUCUUUCUGAAUAAUCAAGUACGCCUUCUGUGCACUCAGAUUAUGUGCUUCAUUUCGAAACAUGCAAAACCCUUAUUUGAGUUCAUUGGUUUUACAUCAUUUCGGCUUGUACAUUUUUUUCAAUAGCUAAUAUUAGAACUCAACAUUCCCAAAUUGGUAUUAAUUCAAAGAUACCCAAUUCUCUGCGAGAAUAAUCUUUCUUGUAUAUUAUUCCCAGAGGAGUCUUUGAUUAUUAGAAAUAGUUUGAGAUUGAUCAAUUUUAAGUUUUAAACAGUAUUGUUUACUAUAUUUCUUCAAUUCCACUUUCUUGUUCCCUCCACCUUUUUGAUGUCUAAUGAAAUAAAUGAAUAAUUAAAUAUCACUAAUUAUUUUUACAAAUAGGAUAACACUAGCACUAAAUACGCUCCUCAAUUAUUUGUCCUAACUUGAA